GAUGAACGCUGGCGGCGUGCCUAAUACAUGCAAGUCGAGCGAACAGACGAGGAGCUUGCUCCUCUGAUGUUAGCGGCGGACGGGUGAGUAACACGUGGAUAACCUACCUAUAAGACUGGGAUAACUUCGGGAAACCGGAGCUAAUACCGGAUAACAUGUUGAACCGCAUGGUUCAACAGUGAAAGACGGUCUUGCUGUCACUUAUAGAUGGAUCCGCGCCGCAUUAGCUAGUUGGUAAGGUAACGGCUUACCAAGGCAACGAUGCGUAGCCGACCUGAGAGGGUGAUCGGCCACACUGGAACUGAGACACGGCCCAGACUCCUACGGGAGGCAGCAGUAGGGAAUCUUCCGCAAUGGGCGAAAGCCUGACGGAGCAACGCCGCGUGAGUGAAGAAGGUCUUCGGAUCGUAAAACUCUGUUAUUAGGGAAGAACAAAUGUGUAAGUAACUAUGCACGUCUUGACGGUACCUAAUCAGAAAGCCACGGCUAACUACGUG
rnacentral:rRNA from 1 species